AAACACAAUUUACAUUGAAGAAUGCAAAGGGACGAUAUUUACCUACAUGUUCACUGCCUCACUCCUGGCGAAGCAACUGCUGAGUGUGUGCCCCUGAAAGGAUGCUGUUUUCUCGGCUCAAGCCAUUUUCUGCACGCACCCCCUCUUUCUAUGAAUAUAGCGAUGACUGCUGCGUACGCUUCCCACACCCUGCGGCGAGGUGCGGUGCCCGCUCAGAGCCAGCUGCCCCCCAAGCCAGGCCGCUCCGUGGGGUGCGGGGGAGCAGCCACUUUGGAGCUGAGUGUUUCCCGCUUUUGAGUUGUCCUGACAUCCUUCUUGAAAUGACUGUUAAAACUAAAAUAAAUUACACUGCAUUUAUUUUAUAUUCUUGGUUGUAAUAAAAUUUAAUUGACUUUGUUUCUAUGUGGAUCUUUUAAGGAUAGAAAAACUCCCGUUCACAAGCUUUAGUGUCACAAUUUCAUCUGUAGGCCUAGAAGCUCUUGAGAUUAUACUCCGCCCUGUAGAGAUGCAAAAUCUCCCUGGGAGUUGCAAUAUGUUAUUUUAUUCAGGAUGCUUAUGAUGUCACAAAACCACAGACACCAUGCUUACAUAUACCUCAGAAGCAGAAUUACAGGUUUUAAGACAUAUCUUGGGAAAGCAUCCCUUUUAUAAAAAAGAAAAAAAGUUAGAAUGAUGUUUUUGAAAAAGCAAAUAGGCAGCAUUUUGUGGGUAGAGUGGCAUUGGGUUUUUCUCCUUUUUAUAAGAACACUCCGUUUUACCUGGCUGCCCCUUAUAAUCUACUUGAUGAAUCUAAUAUGGUUGCUCCAACGGUCAAGGGCAUCAUGGAGUGAACUGAAGAAUGUUUAAAUGGCAUAAACACAAAGCUUCCAUUUCUAUUUAAAAUAGAUAUUGCACGUGUCCAGUUGCUUCACUGCUUGACACAGACUGUAUAUAUAUUCAAUACAGUGCUAUUUGUAGGGUAGAGCUGCUCUUGGAAAACUGUUCUUUGACCAUAGCUGCAUUUCUUUCUUAUAAAAAAAAAAAAAAAAAUUUUUUUUUUUUUAAUUUGAUAGCACAAGCAGGGAGAGAGGCAGAGGGAAAGGAAGAAACAGACUCCCCAUGGAGCAGGGAGCCCAACGUGGGCCUCCAUCUCAGGACCCUGAAAUCAUGACCUGAGCUGAAAGCAGAUUCUUAACUGAUGGAGCUACCCAGGCGCCCCAUAGCUGCCUUUCUAACCAGCCACCUGAGUAAUAGGAUGUGGAUGACUGUACAAACUCCUUACCACUCCUGGGAAAAUCCAUUUUGAAAGUAGGGGUCUAUGUCCUUAGCCAACUAUAAGUUAUUUGUGGAUAGCCCCUGGGUUUGAUUCCUCCUCCACUCCCAGCAUCUGUCAUGACACCCCACACAGAACAGACAAUUAAUAGGGCAAGUCAUUAGCAUCAUUUUUUUUUUUUUUUUACCUUGGCAUAGAAUUCCUGGAUCAUAUUAAAUGGUGGGCAUUUUAAAGCCAUCACUUUAUCCUGCAGGUGAUAGAAAGCCAGCUUGGACAAGAAAAACACAAGCCUAAUAGGAACAUUUGUUCAAUUAUUCUAAAUGAGAGAAUAUAGGGGACAGAGACAAAAAUACUGACUUAAAUGUAUUAAGUACAUUACUUCUGCUUUUUCAGGCUUUUUCUGCUGCUUAGAUUUUUUUCCAGAAAGUACUACUGAAUAUAAAAGUGCUGAUUUGUAUCCCUUCAAAAUCCUUACAGUGAAGCCCUUAUCCCCAGUGUGGCUAUAUUUGGAGAUGAGACCUUUAUCCAAGUAAUUAAAGUUAAAUGAAGUCAAAAGGAUAGGAUCUUGAUUUUAAAAAAAAAAAAAAAAAAGAUAAAACCCUGAUCUAAAAUGGUUAGUUUCCUUGUAAGAAGAAAACACUAGGGAGCUCUCUUCCCCUACCUUCUCUCUCCUUACAGCCUUCUCUCCCUACCAUGUGAGAACACAGCAAGAAGGUUGUCAUCUUCAAGCCAGGAAGACAGCCUUCAACAGAAACCAAACCCUGCCAGACCUUGAUCUCGGACUUCCCAGCCUUCAGAACUGUGAGAAAAUAAAUUCUGUUGUUGAAGUUAUCCGGUUGAUGGUAUUUGGUUGGUUACAGCAACUCAUGCAGACUAAUAGAGAUUUUGGUACCAAGACAUGGGGUACUGCUGUAAACAAGUACCUAAACGUGUGGCAGUAGCUCAUGGAGUCUGGAGGUAAAUGCUAGAAAUAAGAAAUUUUAGAGGUAAUUCUGGUGGGGGCUUAGAAAGAAGAGAGGAGAGCUGGAGAGAAAGCUUCCAUCUUCUUAGAGAACACAUCAAUAAUCAUGAACAGAAUGUUGGUAGAAUAAUGGACGUGAAAGCCAUUCUGGUGAGAUCUCAGAUGGAAAUAAGGAACAGGUCAUUGGAAACUAGAGAAAAGGCAAUCUUUGUUACAAACCUGCAAAAAACUUGGCCAAAUUGUUCUCUAGUGUUUUAUGGAAGGUAGGAUUUUUGAGGGGUGAAAUUUCAUUUUGUUGCUAUAUAUAGAAAUACUAUUGCCUUUUGCAUAUUGCCUUUAUAUCCUGCAACAUUGCCAAUUUCACUGCUCUGAUAGCUUGUCGUGUGUGUGUGUGUGUGUGUGUGUGUGUGUGUGAGAGAGAGAGAGAGAGAGAGAGAGGAUUCCCUUAGAUUCUUUAUAUAUACAAUCAUGUCAUCUGUGAAUAAAGAUAGUUGUACUUCUUCCUUUCUGAUUUAAAGAAUUUUUAUUUAUUUUUCUUGCCUAAAUGCAUGGGCUAGCAGUUCUAAUACAAUGUUGAAAAAGAACAAAUAUGAGUGAACACUUUGUAAGGUUCUUAGUCUUAGAGAGAAAGUAUUCCUAUAUUUCACCAUUAGAUAUGGUGUUAGAUAAAAGCUUCUCAUAGAUGCCCUUAUUCAAAUAGAGGAAAUUUCUUUCUACUUCACCUUUGACAAAAGUUUUAAUCACAAACAGAUGCUGCAUUGUGUUAAAUGCCUUUCCUGCAUAUGAAAUGAUUAUGUGAUUUUUCUCCUUUAUGUUGUUAAUAUGAUGAAUUCCAUUAAAAAAAUAUCUUUGACGAGAGGUGCCUGGCUGGCUCAGUCGGAAGAGCAUGCGACUCUUGAUCUUGAGGGUUGUGAGUUUGAGCUUCACGUUGGGCAUAGCGAUUCCUUAAAUAAAUAAACAUAAAAAAAUUUUUUUUGGCUUAGCACAAACAAAUUUAUUAUCUCACAGUUUAUGUGGGUCAGGAGUGUGGUCAUGCAUUGACUGGGUCCUCUGCUGAGGGUCUCACCAGAUCUCAGGGUGACAGCUGGGACUUUAAGCUCAUUAAAAACUUGGGGUUCUCUUCCAAGAUCACGUUUUUGGCAGAUUUCAGCUCCUGUGGUUGUAGGACUUGCCUGUAGGAGGACCAUCCCCAGCUCCUAGAGACUGUACUUUGCCAUGUGGCCUUUUCCACAACAUGUGGUUGGCUUCUUGGAGGCUGCCAGGAGAAUUCCUCUUUAGUCUGUUACAGUGUUUUAUACCACAUAAUGUAAUCACUGAUGUGCCUAUUCCAUCAUAUUCACAAGUCCUGUUCAAACGAGGGGAAUUAUGUAGGAUGUGUAUCGGGCUAUGCUGACUGAUUUUUGAAUGUUCAAACAACCUUGCAUUCCUCAGAUAAGGAUGAAGAGAAGGCUAUGUGAAGAUGGAAACAGAGACUGGAGUGAUGAAGCCACAAGCCAAGGAAUGCUGUCAGUCACCAGAAACUAAAGGCAAGGAUGAAUUCUCUGAAAGGAAUUUGGCCUUGCUGAUGCUUUGAUUUCAGAUUUCUGGCCUCUAGAACUGAGAGAGAAUAAGUUUCUGUUGUUUUAAGCCCCCGGGGUUUGCAGUAAUUUGUUACAACAAAUCUAGGAAACCAAUAGAUUUUGGUAAUGGUGUAUUACCAUUUUUCCAAUUUGCUCACUUGGAU
rnacentral:lncRNA from 1 species